rnacentral:rRNA from 1 species
GGAGCUUGCUCCACCGGAAAAAGAAGAGUGGCGAACGGGUGAGUAACACGUGGGUAACCUGCCCAUCAGAAGGGGAUAACACUUGGAAACAGGUGCUAAUACCGUAUAACAAUCGAAACCGCAUGGUUUUGAUUUGAAAGGCGCUUUCGGGUGUCGCUGAUGGAUGGACCCGCGGUGCAUUAGCUAGUUGGUGAGGUAACGGCUCACCAAGGCUACGAUGCAUAGCCGACCUGAGAGGGUGAUCGGCCACAUUGGGACUGAGACACGGCCCAAACUCCUACGGGAGGCAGCAGUAGGGAAUCUUCGGCAAUGGACGAAAGUCUGACCGAGCAACGCCGCGUGAGUGAAGAAGGUUUUCGGAUCGUAAAACUCUGUUGUUAGAGAAGAACAAGGAUGAGAGUAACUGUUCAUCCCUUGACGGUAUCUAACCAGAAAGCCACGGCUAACUACGUGCCCAGCAGCCGCGGUAAUACGUAGGUGGCAAGCGUUGUCCGGAUUUAUUGGGCGUAAAGCGAGCGCAGGCGGUUUCUUAAGUCUGAUGUGAAAGCCCCCGGCUCAACCGGGGAGGGUCAUUGGAAACUGGGAGACUUGAGUGCAGAAGAGGAGAGUGGAAUUCCAUGUGUAGCGGUGAAAUGCGUAGAUAUAUGGAGGAACACCAGUGGCGAAGGCGGCUCUCUGGUCUGUAACUGACGCUGAGGCUCGAAAGCGUGGGGAGCAAACAGGAUUAGAUACCCUGGUAGUCCACGCCGUAAACGAUGAGUGCUAAGUGUUGGAGGGUUUCCGCCCUUCAGUGCUGCAGCUAACGCAUUAAGCACUCCGCCUGGGGAGUACGACCGCAAGGUUGAAACUCAAAGGAAUUGACGGGGGCCCGCACAAGCGGUGGAGCAUGUGGUUUAAUUCGAAGCAACGCGAAGAACCUUACCAGGUCUUGACAUCCUUUGACCACUCUAGAGAUAGAGCUUCCCCUUCGGGGGCAAAGUGACAGGUGGUGCAUGGUUGUCGUCAGCUCGUGUCGUGAGAUGUUGGGUUAAGUCCCGCAACGAGCGCAACCCUUAUUGUUAGUUGCCAUCAUUCAGUUGGGCACUCUAGCAAGACUGCCGGUGACAAACCGGAGGAAGGUGGGGAUGACGUCAAAUCAUCAUGCCCCUUAUGACCUGGGCUACACACGUGCUACAAUGGGAAGUACAACGAGUCGCGAAGUCGCGAGGCUAAGCUAAUCUCUUAAAGCUUCUCUCAGUUCGGAUUGUAGGCUGCAACUCGCCUACAUGAAGCCGGAAUCGCUAGUAAUCGCGGAUCAGCACGCCGCGGUGAAUACGUUCCCGGGCCUUGUACACACCGCCCGUCACACCACGAGAGUUUGUAACACCCGAAGUCGGUGAGGU